GGAUGUAGCUCAGUGGUAGAGCAGCUGUCUGUGGAAUGUGAGAGGCCCUGGGUUCAAUCCCCAGCACAACCA
rnacentral:tRNA from 1 species